GCGUACGCCUGCUGCGGCGAGACGAAGUGCACGUGCGAGUCCAUCGCCCCGGCGGUGGCGAUCAGAUGCUCGCCGGCGAUCACCUCGGUGCCCGGCCCGACCAGCAGCUUCGGGUCGACACCGGCCUGCGUCUGCGGGUUGCCGGACUUGCCGAUCCCGACGAUCCUCCCGUCCCUCACGCCGAUAUCGGCCUUGACGAUGCCGAUCACGGCGUCCAUCACGAUCGCGUUCGUGAUCACGAGAUCCAGCGCGCCCUGGGACUGGCUGGCCUGCGGGUCCGCGGCCAUGCCGUCGC
rnacentral:sRNA from 1 species